GGUUAAGCGACUAAGCGUACACGGUGGAUGCCCUGGCAGUCAGAGGCGAUGAAGGACGUGCUAAUCUGCGAUAAGCGUCGGUAAGGUGAUAUGAACCGUUAUAACCGGCGAUUUCCGAAUGGGGAAACCCAGUGUGUUUCGACACACUAUCAUUAACUGAAUCCAUAGGUUAAUGAGGCGAACCGGGGGAACUGAAACAUCUAAGUACCCCGAGGAAAAGAAAUCAACCGAGAUUCCCCCAGUAGCGGCGAGCGAACGGGGAGCAGCCCAGAGCCUGAAUCAGUGUGUGUGUUAGUGGAAGCGUCUGGAAAGGCGCGCGAUACAGGGUGACAGCCCCGUACACAAAAAUGCACAUAUUGUGAGCUCGAUGAGUAGGGCGGGACACGUGGUAUCCUGUCUGAAUAUGGGGGGACCAUCCUCCAAGGCUAAAUACUCCUGACUGACCGAUAGUGAACCAGUACCGUGAGGGAAAGGCGAAAAGAACCCCGGCGAGGGGAGUGAAAAAGAACCUGAAACCGUGUACGUACAAGCAGUGGGAGCACGCUUAGGCGUGUGACUGCGUACCUUUUGUAUAAUGGGUCAGCGACUUAUAUUCUGUAGCAAGGUUAACCGAAUAGGGGAGCCGAAGGGAAACCGAGUCUUAACUGGGCGUUAAGUUGCAGGGUAUAGACCCGAAACCCGGUGAUCUAGCCAUGGGCAGGUUGAAGGUUGGGUAACACUAACUGGAGGACCGAACCGACUAAUGUUGAAAAAUUAGCGGAUGACUUGUGGCUGGGGGUGAAAGGCCAAUCAAACCGGGAGAUAGCUGGUUCUCCCCGAAAGCUAUUUAGGUAGCGCCUCGUGAAUUCAUCUCCGGGGGUAGAGCACUGUUUCGGCAAGGGGGUCAUCCCGACUUACCAACCCGAUGCAAACUGCGAAUACCGGAGAAUGUUAUCACGGGAGACACACGGCGGGUGCUAACGUCCGUCGUGAAGAGGGAAACAACCCAGACCGCCAGCUAAGGUCCCAAAGUCAUGGUUAAGUGGGAAACGAUGUGGGAAGGCCCAGACAGCCAGGAUGUUGGCUUAGAAGCAGCCAUCAUUUAAAGAAAGCGUAAUAGCUCACUGGUCGAGUCGGCCUGCGCGGAAGAUGUAACGGGGCUAAACCAUGCACCGAAGCUGCGGCAGCGACGCUUAUGCGUUGUUGGGUAGGGGAGCGUUCUGUAAGCCUGCGAAGGUGUGCUGUGAGGCAUGCUGGAGGUAUCAGAAGUGCGAAUGCUGACAUAAGUAACGAUAAAGCGGGUGAAAAGCCCGCUCGCCGGAAGACCAAGGGUUCCUGUCCAACGUUAAUCGGGGCAGGGUGAGUCGACCCCUAAGGCGAGGCCGAAAGGCGUAGUCGAUGGGAAACAGGUUAAUAUUCCUGUACUUGGUGUUACUGCGAAGGGGGGACGGAGAAGGCUAUGUUGGCCGGGCGACGGUUGUCCCGGUUUAAGCGUGUAGGCUGGUUUUCCAGGCAAAUCCGGAAAAUCAAGGCUGAGGCGUGAUGACGAGGCACUACGGUGCUGAAGCAACAAAUGCCCUGCUUCCAGGAAAAGCCUCUAAGCAUCAGGUAACAUCAAAUCGUACCCCAAACCGACACAGGUGGUCAGGUAGAGAAUACCAAGGCGCUUGAGAGAACUCGGGUGAAGGAACUAGGCAAAAUGGUGCCGUAACUUCGGGAGAAGGCACGCUGAUAUGUAGGUGA
rnacentral:rRNA from 1 species